rnacentral:misc_RNA from 1 species
GUUCUCCUGCCAUUGCAGCUGGCUUUGAUAAUACUGCUGAUGUUCCGAUGUCUGAGGUAAUUUCUGAUGAGUUUGCAUUUGGUAGCAAUGCAACAGGACUGGUGAAGCCAUGGGAAGGAGAGAGGAUUCAUGGGAAGGAGAGAGGAUUCAUGAAGAGUGUGGAUCAGAUGAUCUGGAGCUUACUCUUGGGAGCUCAAGAACCAGGUGAUCUGGCAUGAAUAGAUCAAACUGAGUUAUAAGUUUCUCAAAUCAUGUUGGGAAC